rfam:Anaerosporomusa subterraneum strain RT4 RT4_contig_4, whole genome shotgun sequence.
CAACCGCCAUCUUAAGAUGGUGCUGAACCCGCAGGAGUCAGCCGAGGUCAUAGUCUAAAAGAAGGAC